AGAGUUAUAAAUACCUCAAGAGUCCACAAUGCACAGCUUACAGAACAGGUACACUGUUUUAGUGGUUUUGGUGUAUCAGAACAGGACUUAGCUUAAAUAGGGCGGCCGACAAUAUCUCCCCUCUUCGCAGCACGAUAUACUGGGCUAGGUGAACAACCCGGGUCACUGAGAAGAGAAGUAAAUUAGCAUGCACGCACAU